GAUGAACGCUGGCGGCGUGCCUAAUACAUGCAAGUCGAGCGAACGGACGAGAAGCUUGCUUCUCUGAUGUUAGCGGCGGACGGGUGAGUAACAUGUGGAUAACCUACCUAUAAGACUGGGAUAACUUCGGGAAACCGUAGCUAAUACCGGAUAAUAUUUUGAACCGCAUGGUUCAAAAGUGAAAGACGGUCUUGCUGUCACUUAUAGAUGGAUCCGCGCUGCAUUAGCUAGUUGGUAAGGUAACGGCUUACCAAGGCAACGAUGCAUAGCCGACCUGAGAGGGUGAUCGGCCACACUGGAACUGAGACACGGUCCAGACUCCUACGGGAGGCAGCAGUAGGGAAUCUUCCGCAAUGGGCGAAAGCCUGACGGAGCAACGCCGCGUGAGUGAUGAAGGUCUUCGGAUCGUAAAACUCUGUUAUUAGGGAAGAACAUAUGUGUAAGUAACUGUGCACAUCUUGACGGUACCUAAUCAGAAAGCCACGGCUAACUACGAG
rnacentral:rRNA from 1 species